CAAAAUAUAGCUAAAAUACAGCACCUUGCCUUACACCAAGAAGAUACUUGUUAAAUUCAAGUUAUUUUGA
rnacentral:tRNA from 1 species